UGUCAAAAUUUUAUCAAUGCGCAUUAAUGUCAGCGACGCGUCGAUCAUCGAUGACCAAGCCCGCUGCGUUUUGUCCUUCUUUUUUUUCUUUUAAUCUAUUCUUAAUACCGAUACCGACGGUAGUCUGCAUUUUUCGUGCGCGAAAAUUCCACACGAGAUAAGCAGAAGCAGGAAUACUCCAACAUUUAGACGCGACACCGUGAUUUGCUGCGUUCGCUGAGUUUAAAUGUCACGGCUGGCAGUCGAUUAUCUGCGAAUACGAAUUUUACAGAUUGAACGACUUUCGUGUGAAUUAAUCAGCAAAGAGAUCUGGAAGGGUCGUUUCCUCGGACCUCGUGUUCGUCACAGUGACUAUGCACAGAUAGUUGUCGUUUCAAACUUCAAAACGUUCAAUCUUUAUCGAAACUUGGUCUAAGGAGGAACGAUAGUGAGGAACGAGUCACCAAUCAAAGAGAUCACUGUCAUUGAAGUUGGUCGAGCGAGACACGAAAAAGAAACAAUGAGGAAGCCGAACUCACUGGUGUUUUACACGCCGAUUCUGCGAUUUCUUUUUUAGGCUUGUGGAAAAAGCAAAUCUUUUAUCCUUGUUUUUUAAUUAUUGCGGUGGCGAGUACGAGCCCGUGUGCGAACGCUACACGUGCAGAGUGCAAUUUUUAGACAAUUUUGUUGAACAAUUAGAGAUGCACGUGUCUGGGUGAUCAGUAGUAAGCGCAAAUAAGGGAACUGAAGCAAAAUGAUGUUGAUCACGAUUGCGACGUGAGGUGCAUUGGUCGAUGAUCUUGCGAGUUCGGAGAGAAAACUGGAAGACUGAACACGGUCAAUCCGACUCCGUCGAGCGACACCGCUCAGAAAGGUCAGAAGACGCUCUGACUGUCACCGUUGGGGCUAAUGCACUUCGGUCUACGAUUCGAUAGAUUUGUCGUCGACAGGAUGGACAAAGUUGAAUGACGCAUUGAUAUUUUACGAUCGCGACUAGUUGUGUAAACGUAACGAGAACUGUCCGAUAGUAUCACGCGUCAACGAUACGACGUCAGAGUUAUGAUUUCGCGGCAAUCCAGCUGUCGCUCUCGUGGCUCGUUCUUACAGAGGCGCCAGAAAAGGGUGUUCGGACAAACGCUGUUAACGUCGUUAACGUUCUGUGAUCUCGUGAUGGCAGUCGAGUGUUGGGAAACCCCAAUGCGAGUAAAGUGGCUUUGGCGGUGUUGAAAGAGAUUUCGGCAUUUACGGCACAUGUAUCUCGGUAUUCACACAUACGUAAUACACACACUAAUGAUCUGUGAUUUCACGCUAAUCUUAAGAGCAAUAACGAAGCAAUCAUAAAGUGCAUUAAGGGAGCCAUAGUUGUUUCGAGGUAAUCAUGAGAAAUCAUUUCAUAUCGUUUCACAAAGAGGAAUCGAUGAGGCAAAGUUCCUUCGCGAAUUACUAUCAAGUUGCUACUUAUAAGAAAUGUUCUCGAGAUUGAACGACUCUAAUAGCUGAUGGUUCAUUUUUUCCAUUUUUGGAGAAAGAACUCCAAAGUUGACCUGAGCAAAUAAUAACACCGGCAGAGAAGAAGCAAGGGUACAUCUUACAGUAUUUACGCGCUUUAUACGAAUGAUAAUCAUCGAGAAUCAUCGAAGAAUCACGAGCUGUAUUUGCAUAUAUUGAUUACUCUGCAAAUGGCAGAUCAAGUUGACAAUGUUCUCGUGGAGAUGGUUUUCGUCGCGGGAACACGCUGUUAUCUCUGCAACGUUCUAGAAGGAAAGAUUAAGCUCCGUCUUGGGAAAAAAGCAAGGUUCGCGCGAAAGAAUCACAUCGAAUAAAAGUGAUCAACGUUGCGUCGCGGGAGAAACGGAAAUGCACCGAAUAGAUAUCGCGAUAUCGUUUGACGACGCGCUCGAUUAUUCGCGCUCGAGUGGAAGAAAGGAGACACUUGGAAGAGGAGAUACGCCGAUCGGAAUUCUAUUACCAUGGUAGUCUAGAUAAAUACUCGAAGGAUUUCCACGGUUAAGAUCGAUCACAUUGGUCUCAGCAGUCUACCGGACAUUCAUCUUCUAGGGAGCAGAGCGAGAAUUAUCUCUCCUCUUUCCUUCUCAUUUUCUCAUCUUCUUUUUUCUCCUUUGCCACCUUCAUCUUUGUCUGCUUCCUUUUGCCUAUGGCGCACAUUCACGUCUCCUCUCCGGGUCGUGCCAUAUCGUGGACAUUAUGCAUGACCCUACCGUCGAACAUCUACGUAUCUGAUAUCCGUGAUCGCCUCACUUUUAUCCUAAAGGCAACAACACUAUCGUUGAAGGUGAGCAAUUUUAUUACGAGAUACUAUCCAUUUCGUGAGAUCGAACAGGAUCGAUGUGAUACAUGUUCAACGUUUGUGGAAUGCUCGAUAAUGGAUAGACAAAGAACAGAUGAAAGUGACUGAUGCAGGGAGAUGCAAACUUGGGAAAUCCACGAGGACGGUCCACGACGAUCGUUGAUCGAGCGGCUCCAUAUCUCUCGAGAUAGGAGAACUGCCGGAAGGUUACAUCCACGUCUUCAUCAAGCGCGAUCGACAAUUUCGGUGACGACGAUCGGAUCGAAUAAUUCUAUCGACAAUAUCCAUACUCUUUCGGGAAUAAUCUCCGACGACAGAAGACUGCAAGAGUCACGUGGUUCGGAUAUCCCGAAACGGUUAUUGUGUGAACGCAGAUUUCGGUGUCUCGAUCGGGGACCAUGAACAAAUCGCGUGAUCGGGCGAUCGUCCGGCAAACAAACAGCCGCUCGUCGAUCGUGAUCGGAAAGAUUAAUCCGGGAUGCUGCAAGCUGUUAUGCUAGGUAGUGGUCCGGGACGGGGGAGACGCGAGUGGUAUCCAGGAUUUUAUCUUCAACAUCGUCGUCUUGGCUGCAGAAUGAAUCGCGGCGAGCAAGAGACCCUUUUUCGGCAAAGCCGGCAGAUUACGCGAAUCGUACCUUCCCGCGAGGAUCUCGUCUUGAGCGUUCUAAAAUCACCGAUCAGCCAACAACAGCAGCAGCAGCAAAAGCAACAACAGCAACGACAGCAAUAUCGGCCUCCGUAUCAGUCACAUACGCAAGGCCACUUUAACUGCCAAGGUCGUCCAGAUAAUAAGAAAUGCAAUCAUUCAGGUGACAACCAGGCGUACAACGAGAGUCUUCCACGGAGCAAGGACCAAGGAUGCUCUAGGCAAGCGGACAAACGGUGCAACGUCGCGACCGCAUCCUACGCCGCUCUCCAGGGUAGCGAGGACGAGCUCACGGCCGAGCAGAGCCUCGAGGCAGCCGAGGACGUCGCAUUGAAAACGCCCGGCAGCGAGACCGAGGACACCGAGGAUAACGGCGCGAAUGCGGAGGAGUCGUCCUCUUCACCCGCGCGUCGAUUCACCUUCCUGCGUCGUUUCCGCUCGCCGCGCUUCGGCGAGGCGCAUCACAAGCGGGUGCCGACACCCAUGAAGCGCAAGUACCGACGCAGAAAGAGUAAGGAGGAUAUUAUCAACGACGAUGUGACCGGCCCCGAGGAAGAGGAGGAAGAACCACCGAGUCCCGAACAAAGUGGCUUGCCCGAUCCUUACUAUCCGAUCUACCUGCCGAUCGAUCAAGCCUUCAAGGCCAAGUAUGUGUUCCAUCACAAGAGGGGCAAGACCUUUCAGGAACAACUGUACGUGUUUCUCGAGCAUCCUGGCGGCUGGCUGUGCUUCGUUUACCAUUUCGCUGUGUUCAUGGUGGUAUUGGUGUGCCUCAUAUUUAGCGUCUUGUCAACGAUAGACCAAUACAGUAAUUUUGCAAACGAAACCCUAUUUUGGAUGGAAAUAUGUCUGGUGGUCUUCUUCGGGGUCGAGUAUCUCGUUCGGCUAUGGAGCGCGGGCUGCAGAUCAAAGUACAUGGGUUGCUGUGGACGGUUACGAUUCGUACGGAAACCGAUUUGUAUCAUAGAUUUAAUCGUCGUGGUAGCGUCCAUGGUAGUUUUGUCGGUGGGGAGCAAUGGUCAGGUCUUCGCCACUUCCGCCAUCAGAGGCAUCCGAUUCCUGCAGAUCCUGCGGAUGCUUCAUGUCGAUCGUCAAGGCGGCACGUGGCGGCUCUUGGGCUCGGUGGUUUUCAUACAUCGUCAGGAGCUGAUUACAACGCUGUACAUUGGGUUCCUAGGCCUUAUUUUUAGCAGUUACUUUGUGUAUCUCGCCGAAAAGGACGCAGUAGGACCCGACGGCAAAACGGACUUUUCCAGCUACGCCGAUGCGCUCUGGUGGGGAGUGAUCACGGUAACGACGAUAGGUUACGGUGAUACAGUUCCAAAAACGUGGAUGGGAAAGAUAGUGGCUUCGUGUUUCAGCGUAUUCGCUAUAUCGUUUUUCGCACUUCCAGCUGGUAUUCUGGGUUCCGGCUUUGCGUUAAAAGUGCAGCAAAAGCAGCGGCAGAAGCACUUCAAUCGUCAGAUACCAGCUGCCGCGAUGUUGAUACAAUGUCUGUGGCGAUGUUACGCCGCUGACAAGGCCAUCAACAGCGUCGCUACGUGGAACAUCUACAUCAAAGAUCCGGCACCGACCGGGCAACCCUCGACUCCUCUGGGCAAGUUGAUUUGUGUAAAGAAGAUGUCUCUGAUGAUCCAGGUGGCAAAGAAGGCGAGCGUGCUGAAGAGGCGGAAGUCGCGAAAUCGAAUGGACGGUCAACAACAGCAACAGCAGCAGCAACAACAACCGCCGAAUCUGCCGCCCACGAUAUCCGGUGGAAUAUCGGCUGGUGCCGGGACUGGACAAAACGACAAUCAACGUCUCGAGAGCGAGGGCGAUGUAGUUUUUUAUAUGGAAGAGCCCAAGGCGGGCACGCCGAAUCGUGCUAGACGCGACAAUCGCGUAUUUCCGAUUGGCAGGGGAAGCCUCUUUACUUCGCAGACGAGCUCGGUGACAGAGGCGACCAGCGACGAAAUCGACAUUGACAUCGAAGAACCUCAAAGAGUCACCACGUUGACGGAAGCACAUCGAAAUGCUAUUCGGGCAAUCAGGAAGAUCAAAUACUUCGUGGCGCGCAGAAAAUUUCAGCAGGCUCGGAAACCGUACGACGUUCGUGACGUAAUCGAGCAAUACAGCCAGGGUCAUCUGAACAUGAUGGUGAGGAUCAAGGAGUUGCAAAGGAGAUUGGAUCAGACCCUGGGUAAACCAGGGAGCUACCUGGCGGGAAUCGACCGGGCGGGCAAUGUCAAACCCAUGACGAUUGGUGCGCGUUUGUACCGAGUAGAACAGCAGGUGCGUCUCCUUUGAUCGAGCGAACGUUAUCACGAGUAGACAUUCUUGGUGACUAUGUUCGCGGGAAUUUGCCUGUGAUCUUGAUCCUUAUUAUUUAUCGGACCUGAGAGGUUUUAAUCCCUCGAGCUGUCGGUGAUGGACAAGAAGCUGGACCAGCUGACGUACGUGCUGAACGCACUGGCGCAGAAACAACAGAUACCUCUGCGUAGCAU
rnacentral:misc_RNA from 1 species